rfam:Rattus norvegicus chromosome 9, whole genome shotgun sequence.
GGGGAUUUAGCUCAGUGGUAGAGCGCUUACCUAGGAAGCGCAAGGCCCUGGGUUCAAUCCCCAGCUCCG